rnacentral:rRNA from 1 species
UACGAGGGGGGCAAAUGUUGUUCGGAAUCACUGGGCGUAAAGGGCGUGUAGGCGGGUUUCUAAGUCAGGUGUUUAAUCCCGGGGCCCAACCCCGGACAGGCACUUGAAACUGGGAAUCUUGAAUAGUGGAGAGGUCAGUGGAAUUGGGGGUGUAGCGGUGGAAUGCGUAGAGAUCCCCAAGAACACCAGUUGCGAAGGCGGCUGACUGGACACAUAUUGACGCUGAGGCUCGAAAGCAUGGGGAGCAAACAGG